UACGUAGGGUGCAAGCGUUGUCCGGAAUCAUUGGGCGUAAAGAGCGUGUAGGCGGCUCGAUUAGUCCGCUGUAAAAGUCCAGGGCUCAACCCUGGGAUGCCGGUGGAAACUGUCGGGCUAGAGUCCGGGAGAGGCGAGUGGAAUUCCUGGUGUAGCGGUGAAAUGCGCAGAUACCAGGAGGAACACCAAUUGCGAAGGCAGCUCGCUGGGACGUUACUGACGCUGAGACGCGAAAGCGUGGGGAGCAAACAGG
rnacentral:rRNA from 1 species